GGGUGCGAUCAUACCAGCAAUAAUGCACCGGAUCCCAUCAGAACUCCGAAGUUAGCUUGCUUGGGCGAGAGCAGUACCAGGAUGGGUGACCUCCUGGAAGUCCUCGUGUUGCACCCCUC
rnacentral:rRNA from 1 species